rnacentral:lncRNA from 1 species
AGCCCACCCUUGGAGAACCACUGGGCUAUAGAAUGAUGUCAAGGGCUGGAGAGGGAGGCUACAGAGUGGGUCUAGGUCCAGGUACAGUCUCAGAACCACACUGCAAAACUGGCUUAGUCAGGUAGCUGCUGUAUCUGCUGCUUCCACUGUGAACUCAAAAACCACAUUGCCUGUGCUGCAGGCCGGAAAGCUGCUGAACCAGGAAGCUGUGCUGAUGCUGCUGACUGCCCCUGAGGUUAGAGAUUGACUAGACAUAGUGCCACUGUCAUCCCUGCUGGAGAAGGUCCGAAGCACCUCCACCUCUGUGCUUCCAGAGGGGCACUGUGGUGGCCACUUAAAAUGCUCAGGCUAUACCAUGCACUAGAGCAUCUACCUGGGCAAGGGAUAUGCUGUAUGACACUCUCCUGAUGCUGGGCAUGGCUGUGAGCCAAAGCACCCAGGCAGCCCUGCCAUCAGAAGGGUAAACCACGGACACCUGAUGCCUUCCUGAAGGAAGAGCACUACGCCUGCCAAACCAUCAAGCGUUGAUGCUCCAGCGCCUUCUACCCGUGGUUCUCCAGCCUCAGCAGAAGAGAGAGAAAUUGAUGACCCUGUCGUUGUAGCAUCCCCAUCACCCAGCAAUUAAUUUUAGUUCAAUGCUUCAAACGCUCUUCAGGCGCAGUGUGCGUUCAGCUGUGUCAGCUAAUGCAAAUGGGGGAUCUCAGAAGUCUUAAUGAAGUAACUAUCCCUGAACACUGGGAUCAAUACUCAGCAUCCAGCUGUCAAAUCAACACCAAGCGUUUCACUCGUCGCCCAGCCUAGAGUGCAAUGGCGCUAUUUCGGCUCAUUAUAACCUCCGCCUCCCGGGUUCAAGCAAUUCUUCUGCUUCAGCGUCCCAAGUAGCUGGGAUUACAGGUGAGCACCAUCAUGCCUGGCUAAUUUUGUAUUUUUAGUGGAGAUGGGGUUUCACCAUACUGGCCAGGCCGGUUUCAAACUCCUGACCUCAGGCGAUCCGCCCUCCUUGGCCUCCCAAAGUGCUGGGAUUACAGGGAUGAGCCACCACCGCGCCCGGCCUUGAUGUACUUUUUCUAUUAAAUGAUCUAAGAACAAUUUUACGGGCAGAAAGUAUGACUGUAAUAAAUGUAUGCAAUCCAAAACUACCACCCACCAUCUAUGAAAAUACAAAAAUCAAGCUGUCAUGCCAAAUCUAACUGGUUACUUCUGUUUCUCUGCUAAUAGUCGUUAGCUACACUCAUUUAUUUGUUUUAUUGUGACAGUGUCCACUGUCAGAUAAGUAAGAGCAGGUGCUGAAAUUUUAAGAAACAUUUGAGGGAACAUUUUCAAUGGAAUCUGUUGAAGUUGAGGUGCCUUUAGUACACUAGUAUAACUGCAUCACCCCUGAGUGUUAGCGAUAAGUGCAAUGAUUUAAUUUUACUGUGGAACUCCCAAGUCCAGCUUAUGGAAUAAAUUCCGGAUCAUAGUUUGAGAACUACUGGCUUAAAGGGUCCCAUUUCUUGCUUCUUUAAGUGUCAAACAGUGACUGUGAGAUAUAUAUAUAUAUAUAUAUAUAUAUUCCUGGCCCAAGUGAUGGGCAAGCUUCAAAGCAGUUGAGGACUCCAGUCAAAACUAACUGUGCCCCCUGAGUGUUCUAGCUCUGAGGAUUUGGUCCCUGGCUUCUUCCUUCAAUCUGCACCAUCAAGAAGCAUUCUUGGCCAGGUGCAGUGCCUCACACCUGUAAUCCCAGCACUUUGGGAGGCCGAAGUGGGUGGGUCACUUGAGGUCAGGAGUUUGAGACCAGCCUGGCCAACAUGGUGAAACCUCAUCUCUAACUAAAAAUACCAAAAUUAGCUGGGAGUGAUGGCCUAUGCCUGUAAUCCCAGCUACUCAGGAGGCUGAGGCACAAGAACUGCUUGAACCUGGUAAGAGGAGGUUGCAGUGAGCCGAGAUCAUACCACUGCACUCCAGCCUGGCCAACUGAACGAGACUCUGUCUCAGAGAAAGAAAAAAAGAAAAAAAAUCUUCUAGGCUCUGCACAUAGGCCAUGUGCUAAAAUCAGCAUUCCAAGGGCCAGAAGGACUCCUAGAGGCAUCUUUCAGAUGCUGACACUAGUUCAGAGCCUCACAGAUAGCUCCAGUUUCUGCCUAAGUACCUUCAGGGACUGGGAGCUCACUACUUCCCCCAAAAAAGGUUCUUAUGAACCAUCAUCUCCUAUCUCCACCCUCUAAAACCACCCAGUUCUUAACUUCUGCUUUGUUUUUGCUAUCAGCACUCUCUGCCUUGUAUUGUUGUUAUUUGGAUACUUAACUGUCACACAGUGGUAAGGGCUUAGGUUUUGGAACCACUUGCAUUAGAAUCCCAGCUCCGUAUUUAUCUCCACCAUUUACCAGCCAUGUGACCUUGGCAAAUUACUUAACCUCUCUGAGCCUCAGUUAUCGCCUAUAUGGGAUGGGAAUAACCUUAGGGUCUAUUUCAAGGAUUAUUCGGAGGCCUAAGGUAAUGGGAGGAAUCUGCUUGACAUGUAGAAAGCUCUCAGUACAGCAUAGAUAUUAUUAUUAUUCCUCUGCUAGACUACAAAAUCUCUGAGGGCAGGGACCUCUUCUUGGAUAUCUUUGAACCCCUCCAUAACAGUGGGCAAAGUGUCUGUCAGAGGGUUUUAAUGAAUGCAUCACACAAAAGAGACCGUACUGAACAAGAGAGACAGGAAGCUUGGAUAAUUAUUUGAAUAUCUACAGUCAUCAGAAGGCUUAUAAAUGUAAAGCCAAAGCUCCUGCCAAAGAAAUGUGUGGAGCAGAAAAGAAAACCCAGAGCAGAAUGUCAAGAGCAAGGAUGUGUUGGGACAGGAAAUGAAGACGAGAUUGGGAGAGGUCAUGCAGAAUCAGGUCACAUUCUGGAGGGAAGAAGGAGCAAAGGCACAUGAUGAGAGAGUGCUAAUUAAGGUGGCCAAAGAGAACAGUGUGGUGCUGUAAAUGCCGGCAGAGCAAGGAGCCCUGCUGCCAGCCUGACCCAACACAGUCACGUUGAUGAAAAUGGAAAAGGAUGGCUGGAGGUAAUGAUAAUGUAUUACAGAUUGCAAAAUCGCUAGAAGAGAGGGUUUUGAAUGUUCUCAUCCCAAAGAAAUAAUAAAUGUUUAAGGUGCUGGAUGUGUUAAUUACCUUGAUUCGAUCAUUACACAAUGUACAGCCUUCAGUUGCAAAGUUCUCCAUUGUCAGAUUACGCUGCCUGAUGGGCAUGAAAAGUCCACAAAAGAGAAUUUUCUGAUGUGAGAAUGGAGGGUGUUGCCUGCAACUACCCCAGAUCCCUGCGGUGGCAGUUUAAGCCGCCUCCUGGAGCAGAUUGUUAAGCUGAUGCGAGUCUGGGCUCUGCCUCACCACUUGUCUCAGAGACAGAGUCUUGCUCUGUCACCUAGGCUGGAGUGCAGUGGUGCCAUCACAGCUCACUGCAGCCUCGACCUCCCCGUGCUCAAGUGAUCCUCACACCUCAGCCUCCCGAGUAGCCGCGAUCACAAGUUAAACAAACACAGUUCUUUACAUCAAUGCUUCCGUCCCUGGCCAUCUGGUCUCCUGUCCCCUCCAGACCCAAAACCAUGGGCUGGGCUGCAGCAAAAUGAGGGUGUACUCAGUGCACUGAGGCCCAUGUACCAUGAGAGAUGGAGAAAGCCUUGGCCGGAGUUUAAGGAUUUGGGGCUGGGCACAGUGGCUCGUGCCUGUAAUCCUAGCACUUUGGGAGGCCAAGGCAGGAGGAUCACUUGAGGCCAAGAGUUUGAGACCAGCCUGAGCAACAUAGUGAGACUCUCAUUUCUAAAAAUAAAAAAGUUAGGCCUGGCACAGUGGCUCAUGCCUAUAAUCCCAGCAGUUUGGGAAGCUGAAUCAAGAGGAUCACUUGAGGCCAGGAGUUUGAGCCCAGCCUGGUCAACAUAGUGAGACUUUAUCACUACAAAAAGUUUUUAUUUAUUUAUUUUUUUUGAGACAGGGUCUCGAUUCAUCACUUAGGCUGGAGUGGAGUGUGCAAUCACAGCUCACAGCUCACAGCAGCCUCGACCUCCUGGGUUCAAGCCAUCCUCCCACCUCAGCCUCCUGAGUAGCUGGGACUACAGGCAUACACCACCAUGUCUGGCUAAAUUUUUGUACUUUUUGUAGAGACAGGGUUUCGCCAUGUUGCCCAGGCUGGUCUCUAGCUCCUGGGCUCAAGCAAUCUGCCUGCCUCAGCCUCCCAGAGGCCUGGAACUACAGGCGUGAGCCGCUGCUCUUGGCCAUUUUUAAUUUAAGAGACAGAGUCUCGCUUUGUUACCCAGGCUGGAGUGCAGUACCCUUACUGCAGCCUUGAACUACUGGGCUCAAGCCAUCCUCCCACCUCAGCCUCUCAAGUAGCUGGGACUACAGGUGUGUGUCCCCAUGCCCAGCUGACUGAGCUACCACCAUGCCACUGCAUGCCAGUUGUGACAAAAAUGUCCAGUGCUAGGAGACUCAUAAGUUGGAGAGAAACGGCCUGAUUUAUAGAAACUGAGCGAGACUCCGGACCACCUGAUGCAGAGAAACCUGUGACCUGAAAAAGUCUAUUUGUGUUUCCUCUAGGAAUCUCGGCCAAGAAGACAGGGACAAGCUCCCAACUCUGACUACCCCUUUUACAGGGAAAAAAAAAAAAUCCCGUGCCUUCUUUGCAGCAAGUGACAAAUCCUUGUCAUAUCGAGAUGGCUUUUCCUCCUCCUCUUCAAACAUCUUUUAGCAGCAACAGCAGCUCAAGUAACUGGAAUUAUUUCAGAGUUAAAAUGCAGGCUUUGUAGACCCUCUUAGACAGACAGAUUCAAUUUCAAAGGAAACUUCUUUGGCUGGGUACUCAGUGAGUGUUACACAGGGAUUUGGGGAGUUAAUAUUCACUGUUUCUGUUGUUGGAGAAAAGGAAAGCAGAGUUGCUCUUUCUCAUUACUCUCCCCAACGCACAUCUGUUUCCUCUCGUAUCUUGGAAUUAGGAAGAUGGAGGAGACUUAAGUGGUGACCCACCUAGCCUCCUGAUGCAUGCUGGGCUCACUUUAAAACUCCCAAAACAGAUGGCAGUUGAUCACGGUUUUAAAGAUCCCAGCAUAGACUUUCUGCAGCCUCCCUUGUUAGCCACUAUCAGCGCUUAACAUUCUGUCAUCUGAAUAACUCCUUAAAAAUGAUAGCAAUGGUAGUAGAAAUUUAAAAGGAACCUCCCAAAAAACAUGCAAAAGCUUACCACCCCAGUAAAUCACCCGCAACAAUGUCGCAACAGUUUAAAUUUACUGCAGAGAGAGCUGAAGUUUAGGAGACACAGCUUUAUAAUAUUUUUGAGAGAUAGUUGAGUGCAAAUGAGUCCUGUUCCUCUUGCAUCAGGGCCUGCUCCACUGAGUCAUCCUGCCUUCAGAAGCUUCCAGCUAAGUGGCAGGCCCCGGCCAUAGGCUCCCUGUGUCCCCAGCCUCCAGAGAACACACAAUGUUCUCAUCGCCCUUAGCUCCAUUCCAGAAGGGGCCUGCAGUUCUGCAGCUUAUCAGGGGUCUACUGGGAAGUGAGAUGUCACUGUCCCUUUCUGGCCCUGCAUUGUCUGUGAGUGGCUCUCCUGGAUUAAGAGUUGGCAAAGUAUGGCCAGUGGCCAGGACUGGCCUGCUGCCUGUUUUUGUUUAACCCGUGAGCUAAGAAUAGUUUUUACCUAUUUUAAGUAGUUGAAAAAAAAAUCAAGAGAAGAAUACUAUUUCGUGAUAUGUGAAAAAUCACAUGAAAUUCAAAUGUAAGUGUCCAUAAAUAAAGUCUUACUGGAAGACAGCCUUGCUCAUUUAUUUCUGUCUCAUUCGCUACUGUCUGCGGCUGCCUUCACGCUACAAUGGCAGUACUGAGUAGUUGUGACGGGCACUGUAUGACAGCAAAUCCUAAAGUAUUUGCCAUCUGGCCCUUCACAGAAAAAGUUUGCUGACCCUGGCUUUCGAGCCUCUCAUCACUUUGGGAUUCAUCUCUUUACUUUCCCCAGAGUGAGGGAGGCAGUAACGUUCCUCGUGAGUGCUUAGUCCUUGCUCCCAAGGCAAUAAACCCCCCAAAACCCCUCUCUUUCUGCAGUCUUCUUGUUGGCUUGAUAGUGGUAGGGCUGGUUCAGCCAAGGUCACAGUUGGAGGGCAGGAAGGGGGUACAGCGAAGGACGACGGGGGUGUCUUCUCUAGUCCUGUUUGCAGCAAUCUUUAGAAUGCAAAAUAAUUAAGAAGAAACUGCUGUUUUUUGGCUGUGGGAUGCAAUUCGAAUUCUGGAAAAUUAGAAUCAACAGAACGUGGGAUGUGGGAGUCCAGGACAACUCCCCUGUUUUGGCUGUGUUUGGUGCCAUGUGUGGAGGUGGGAGAGAUGGGAGAAAGAAGAGGUUUGGGCAGGGGGAGGGAAGAAUCAAGAUUCUGCUUUGAAUGGACGAAGGUUGUGGUUUGUUGAGAGGACAACUAGAUAACUGGCCACUUGAAGAUGGGAUGGAAGUCUGAAUCUGCAAGGAGUCACAGAUGAAUGGUAUGGAAAGCUGUGGUAGUGGAUGAGAUCAUACGAACGGUGGGUGCAGAUGGAAACGAGAAGCCAUCUAAGGACUCGUAAUGGGCUCCUCAACACUUGGAAGUUGGGUAGAGGAAGAAGACCGCAUGAGGGCAGGAUCCUGAAUGUUCCACUCACUGCUAUAUCCCUAGCACUGGUUACAGUGCUUGGCACACACUGCAUGCUCAAUAAAUUAUUUGUUGCCCAUAUAAGUGAACGUGAAUUCCAAUGGACUAGCAUCUUCCACUCUCAACAUAAACAAAAACAACAGCAACAUUGCAAUUCCCUAUCUUCUCUUCCCUGAUCUCUUUCUCAUUCUGUCUCUCCUUCCCUUUUCCUCUGCCUUCCUGUUGCCUUCUCUGAUAUGAGUUAAAUUUAUCAGGGGUGUCCAGGUACCCGGCUAUUCUUGAGCAUUCCUUAUCUGGCUA